rnacentral:rRNA from 1 species
CCCUUAGAUGUCCUGGGCCGCACGCGCGCUACACUGAUGCAUGCAACGAGUUUAUAACCUUGGCCUGAAAGGUCUGGGUAAUCUUUUGAACGUGCAUCGUGAUAGGGAUAGAUUAUUGCAAUUGUUAAUCUUGAACGAGGAAUUCCUAGUAAACGCGAGUCAUCAGCUCGCAUUGAUUACGUCCCUGCCCUUUGUACACACCGCCCGUCGCACCUACCGAUUGAAUGGUUCGGUGAAGGUCUCGGACUUCGAUAUUUAUUCUUUAUUGAGUUUAUAUUGUGGGAAGUUAUCUAAACCUCAUCAUUUAGAGGAAGGUGAAGUCGUAACA